UCUUUUUCCACCGGAGCUUGCUCCACCGGAAAAAGANGAGUCGCGAACGGGUGAGUAACACGUGGGUAACCUGCCCAUCAGAAGGGGAUAACACUUGGAAACAGGUGCUAAUACCGUAUAACAAUCAAAACCGCAUGGUUUUGAUUUGAAAGGCGCUUUCGGGUGUCGCUGAUGGAUGGACCCGCGGUGCAUUAGCUAGUUGGUGAGGUAACGGCUCACCAAGGCCACGAUGCAUAGCCGACCUGAGAGGGUGAUCGGCCACAUUGGGACUGAGACACGGCCCAAACUCCUACGGGAGGCAGCAGUAGGGAAUCUUCGGCAAUGGACGAAAGUCUGACCGAGCAACGCCGCGUGAGUGAAGAAGGUUUUCGGAUCGUAAAACUCUGUUGUUAGAGAAGAACAAGGAUGAGAGUAACUGUUCAUCCCUUGACGGUAUCUAACCAGAAAGCCACGGCUAACUACGUGCCAGCAGCCGCGGUAAUACGUAGGUGGCAAGCGUUGUCCGGAUUUAUUGGGCGUAAAGCGAGCGCAGGCGGUUUCUUAAGUCUGAUGUGAAAGCCCCCGGCUCAACCGGGGAGGGUCAUUGGAAACUGGGAGACUUGAGUGCAGAAGAGGAGAGUGGAAUUCCAUGUGUAGCGGUGAAAUGCGUAGAUAUAUGGAGGAACACCAGUGGCGAAGGCGGCUCUCUGGUCUGUAACUGACGCUGAGGCUCGAAAGCGUGGGGAGCAAACAGGAUUAGAUACCCUGGUAGUCCACGCCGUAAACGAUGAGUGCUAAGUGUUGGAGGGUUUCCGCCCUUCAGUGCUGCAGCUAACGCAUUAAGCACUCCGCCUGGGG
rnacentral:rRNA from 1 species